rnacentral:rRNA from 1 species
AGUGAACGCUGGCGGUAGGCCUAACACAUGCAAGUCGAACGGCAGCACAGUAAGAGCUUGCUCUUACGGGUGGCGAGUGGCGGACGGGUGAGGAAUACAUCGGAAUCUACUUUUUCGUGGGGGAUAACGUAGGGAAACUUACGCUAAUACCGCAUACGACCUACGGGUGAAAGCAGUGGAUCUUCGGACCUUGCGCGAUUGAAUGAGCCGAUGUCGGAUUAGCUAGUUGGCGGGGUAAAGGCCCACCAAGGCGACGAUCCGUAGCUGGUCUGAGAGGAUGAUCAGCCACACUGGAACGGAGACACGGUCCAGACUCCUACGGGAGGCAGCAGUGGGGAAUAUUGGGCAAUGGGCGCAAGCCUGAUCCAGCCAUACCGCGUGGGUGAAGAAGGCCUUCGGGUUGUAAAGCCCUUUUGUUGGGAAAGAAAAGCAGCAGGUUAAUACCCCGCUGCUCUGACGGUACCCAAAGAAUAAGCACCGGCUAACUUCGUG